AUUGUUGGUGAACCUAUUCUGGUUACCUUGACGAUAAAGUAUCACUCUUCCAGGAUUUAAACUUUCUUUGGCGUGUAAAGAAUAUAAUAUGCUACAACGGGAGGCAGCUACAAUUGGAUCAUCUAAGUUUUAGGUCUAUCUUCUCUCUUUUUGCAUUACUCUUCUUUGCAGGGUGUGAAGGCAUCCCGUGUAGCUAAGGUAUGUGGUGUACCAAGUUCAGCAUCACUCACUACGCAGGCUACUCAGGGAGGCAGUGACUUGUGCAUAUGCGCACUGAAAACAGAGGAUGGAGUGGAUGUCCCCCCACCGAGCUCUUUAUUAAUUAGACUAACAGUAGUUAAGUUGCAAUCACUAGUGUGAACUAAAUUUUAAAAGUGUUGCUUUCUUUCCAGGUAAAGAAAAUGAUAUGGGUAAAAUACAAAUUUGAUGUUUAAAAGGACAACGUCCUCUCCUGGUCCCUUAACCUUGGCUUUGAUCACACUCAUGGAAAUCAGACCUGUAUAGGAUUAACUAUACCUAAAGAAUUUCUGCUGGCAUAAAACUGGUGGCGCCAGCCAGCUCCACACUCACCCCAGUGAAGCACUUUGCCAGGCUGUAGGUUUUCCUUCCAUGCUCUGCCCUGUACCAGCAGCAGGGCAGUUCCCGCUGGCACGCACAAUUUGCGCCCAAGGAAGACAACGAGACACUCCUUUUGCUUGUCAAGCACAGCAGAGGAAUUCCCAAAACAAGCUAAUCACUGGAAACACCACCUCAGGGCGAUGCUGCUAUGGGUGUGGGAGCUGCACUGCCUCUGCAGCUGGCACAAGCACUGACUCGUAGCCCAGACGAGGCCGGCGGUGCGACGCCAGCCCGACUGCCGCACCGUGCUCUGUUCUUUACAGGUGCUCCCAGCGCUCAGCACGCACUAUACAAACCUUCCCAACGAAAGACCGUGCCUGCCUGUACGCAGCCUCUCUUAGUGCUUCAACCAGCACAGAGUGAUGGAGAACGCCCCGCGGCAUUUUACCCCGAGCCUUCUCAUUUUUCCUGCUGUUCCAACCGCGGCGGCUGUUGCUGCAGGAACGGAGCCCCUCGUGCCUGUGCCGGAGUGGGCUCUGCAGCUGCCACAGCUGACAUCAGGCAGCAUAACUAUUUCAGCCCUGCCGGUCCUCAGCAGGGGUCACAGCUGACAGCAGACUUAAUAAAAUUGGCUGGGGUUGGGUGACUAAAAUGAAACAUCUCAGCUGAAAAAAAAAAAAAGGCAAGAUUGAGGCUCAUUCAACAGCUUUCUCUUCACAUAGUUAAGGGAGAGCUUCACUACAAUUGACAGCUAAUUCAGUACACAUCUCAUAAUAUAUUAUCUCCCCGGCUAUAUGACAAGUCUAGUGAGCAAGAUGCAAAUGAACACUUAGGCAGGUAAGUUCUUAAUGUCACUUUAAGACUCAGCGCGGCAUCACUGUCUUCAUCUACCGGAUGAGCUCCGUCGUGAUGGAGCAGUUGUGGGAAGGUAGCAGCAGGACGGCAGAGGAAAUGGAAGAGCGCAAACAUGGACUCCUGGACUGCAGAGCUGCCUGCACUAACUUUGCACAACCUCUUUCACUGCAAGGAGCAGUAAAGGAAAGUAAAUCUAUGGGACACACAGGGCACAAAUAGGGAAAUUCGGAUAAAAGUGGGGACACAUUGAACACUGCAAGAAUUAGGAGUGGUCCCAGGUUUGGGUGAAAUUCCUGUGAGCAUAUGCCUGAACCCAGUGACUCAAAACCUCCAGUACCUGACUUGGUGCCUGUCUCAAAUCCUCCUGCCCUGCUCUCCAGCUCCAUCAGCAGGGUGCCGAUGUGAGUGAGGCCAGCCAGCGCAGGGAAGACUUCGAGGAGUUCUCCCAUUCUGAAUACUGGACUUUAAACACUGCUGGCAGAAAGCGGCAGGCAGUCAGCCUGUGCUAUCAGUGGUUCUGGACGUGUUUGCACACUGCUGCAGGUGGCUCUGCAAGCUUCUGAGCACUGCAAUGCUGGCUGCUCACCCUUCGGGAGGUGGUUGAUAUUUUUCAUCCAUUCUCAGCUCACGGAGUCAUCACACUCCAUACCAAUCUUGGUUUGCAUGUGUUAUAGAUAAUUUUUCUAGCCACUGUAACUGUGCGCUUAUAUUUAAAAAAAUGGACGGUAAUGGAAAUAACUUUUUUUUUUUUUUAAUGGCAUGGUUUUAAUUUUGUCGUUUCUGAGAAACCAGAUUCAUGACUCUUUGCCUUCUAUUUUCAACAAGCUCUUCCUCUCCUCCUGCUGUUUGUUACACUUGUUGCAAAACCCAGUCUGAGGCUUUAGGCUGCUCACGGCAACGCUCACGCUCAUGCUCUUGAGCUGGUCAUGUCUGAAGUGAACCAUCAGCACGAAAAGCAGCCAAGGCGCUGAGAAUCAGCCCCCGGUAACUCAUUUCCUUCUGCAUAGCCCAAAGUGUUUGUGAUUAUUUGCAGUAAAACUGUAUAUUUCUGAUCAAUUUUUUGGAUUCUCAUGUUAAUGUAAUUUCAGCAGAAUAUCAAAAACAACUCUAUUCUGGUUGGCAUGACACAUAUUAAUUGUGCAUAAAGCUUGGAAUCAAUUAAUUUAAAGUAAUAAUUUGUAUAAACAUCCUAACAAAAUUUUAAAGGGUAUUAAACACCCUGUUUUAUAAACAUAACACUUAAUUUGAAAAAAAAACAUUUAGAAGGUAAUGCAUUUAGGAUAAGUGCACAACACAUGAAAAUAAUAAAUGAAAUUUUCCCAGUUUAGAAAAUGAAUGUAAUUAAUUAACAUUUAAAUUACAUUUUUAAUUGCAAUCAUGCCCUCCCAGGGGACUCAUAAGGGACCAUAAUUGCAAUUAAAAGCAUGUGGAUUAGAUAAUAAAACAAUGCACACUGUCUGAAAUGUGCGAUUUAAAAUGGAAAGCAGACAUUGUUAUCGGCACAUCUAACUUAAUUGUAGCCAUAAAGCAAAUGUGCUGUACAAAAUAAAAUUCACAUACGGGAACAUUUAAUUCUUGAAUCUCUUAAAGGGGACACGCUUGAGAGCACAUUUUAUGACAGGUUCUGUUUGAAACGGCCCUUUAAGGCUUUAGUAUUCAGGGAUAGCACUUUAAUGUUUUUGCAUUAAUAAAAGCAUAGCUGAAUGUUCCUAUUAAAAUACACAGAUACAUUUAAGUAAGAGAUGAAACCGAGUGUCUAAAAUUUAAGUUGCAGAAGGCACAAUUAUAUUAGGAGCACAUUUUUCUUUGUUCUGCAUUGUUUGAAAAUUGCAUUUGCCAGGGGUGAGUUGGAGAGGCACUACAUUCCCAGUACAUGUAGUGAACAGGCAAAGGUAUCUGAUAAAUAGGUGUUUGCCAGACAGAUACAAAUCUGCUCUGCCUUCCAUGUGGUCACCUCUCAGGCCAGCAGACCUUCAUCAGAAUAUCAACGUUCUGGUUUUCCUUGGUGCUGCACUACUGCUUUUUGAUAAAUAACAAAGGUUUUAGCCCUUAGUGCCACUAAUUCUUCAUUUUUCAAAAACUUCCACUUCAUCUCAACACAAAGAGAAGAAAUAAGAAGCUCCCAACAAGAAAGAUCUUUCAGAAAGAAGGUUGAACUCUGCUUUCAGGAUACUAAGUAGUAAAUGAAGACACGAAGUCUCUGGAGGGCUGUGUUCUCCCACGGAUCAAGCAGUAUUAGUUACUCUUUGCUGGGGAAGUCCUCAGUGAGUUUAAGUUGCACGAUACACAGACCUGAAGGUCUUUCACCAAGUUUAUGUGUCAGGAGCCGAAUUCAAGAAUGAAAGGUUUUCAGAAAUCACUGAUUAGUCUCAUUGCUGAGUGAAUUACUACUAGGUGCCAAGAUACUAAUUGUGACAAGUGUGUUAUAAAGCUGGGACAGUACAGACUGAAAAUGGAGAAAAGUUUAGAAGCUGAUGGAGAAAGGGUUCCAGAUCAUGAUAGAAAUUUUCUGCAUGGAUGCUUCUUUUUGCCAUUUACUUUCUAUCUUAAGGGACAAUAUAUUUUUUUCACCUAACCCAGAUACAAAAUAUGGCUCUAUCCAUAAGUUUAUGUGGCAAAUUUUGAUGAAUACAAUGCUUUGGUAGAUGAGGUUUGGAGUUAACUCUGAUGUGGGAGAACACGUCAUUUAUGGAAGCAGAAGGGGAAAAAAAAAAAAAAAAAAAAAAAGAUGAAGAACCAAAUCUUUGAAUCUUUCAGUUCAUUAAUUGAUACUGCUCUAACUCCUGUUAGUCUACUGGGAAGAUGCUGAUAUAAUUGUUGAUAAUAUUCACUGUGACACAUGCUAGGAUGUCUGCUCUAUUUUCACCCUGCUUAAGACCUUGACCUAGGAAGGAAUAGAGAGUUUAAGUGGUAACACACAAAAUAUAACCUCUGCCACUCAGGAAGGAAGUUAUUUGGUAUAAGAAUAUAUCUGUAAUACAUAUUCUUAUAUAUUUUCCUAUGUAUAUAUUACAGAUAUAUUCUUAUAUAUAUUCCUACCUAUUAAAACACAGCGAGAAUCGGAAGGAAACGCAUGUGCAGGGUCCCUAAGUUAUCCAAGUAUUUUCCAUUUUAAAAUGUUUGGGAAACCUUGAAGUUCUUCCAUAUAAUCUUUCUCACUAGUUCUGCUGCAGUCCUUGGACAGCACUAUAUAUACAGUAUAAAAAAUAGUGAUUGGUUUUGAAGGGAAUAGUAGUACAAUAUUUCUAAAGGGUUAGAAAAGUUACCCUGAGUGUGAAAUAAUGCUGAAAGCUGAAUACCGCAAUUGGAGGUAACUUUUGAACUGGAAGGAAAUAUUUUACUCUGCAAAUGCUUAAAGAAAUAAAUAUCAUUUUUAUAAUACAAAGAACCAACCAAAUAAACAAACAAAAAUCAAACCAAACAAAUGAAAGAAAAAACAAACCACCAAGCAUGAUCGUUAAUGUUAAAUGGAGAGUUAUCUGAAAUGGGACGCGUAUAGGUCUUGUGUAAUUUGGUAUUCUGUGCAAUAAAGUGUUCGUUCUCAGGAUUUUAUCUAUUGUUUAAGGCAUUCAACAUUAAAGGGGUAUGAUGACCUGGCACAAGCCAACCUUUCAGAACUGCAUGAAAUACAGAAAGUAAAUAUAUAUAUUUAUAUUUGAAUCCACACAGCAUUCACCCCACACUGGUCACCCACAAAAAAAAAAUAAAAAAUUUCCAAUGCCCUAUCAGUGGUUUCUGCCAUGCAGAGACUUCAUUUUUACAAUGCAGGUAAUGAUGUGCUACAAUAUUUGUGGUAAGACACUACGUGGCAAGCCAGUGGCAGAUGAUCUGUAUGCAUAUCUCCUUGGCUUAAUGACAACAUAACAAAGUUUUAUGUUCGUUAUGUUCUCAUUCCUCAAACCCACGUAUAGGUCUCAGAUGCUGAUCCCGUCUUAGAGAGCCUUCAACUUUGGUGAGCUCACCCGUUGUCCAGUUGGACAAAGCACCGUUUGAACUGCCUAAGGCAAACAGUUAAUCACAUUAGCAGACCACUAACAUUAAAACUGGGAAGUGACAAAAAGUAAAGCAACACUUAGAUUUGCUGUGGGGAAACACAUUCAGAUUGAAUUUAAUUUGGAUAGUCAGAAAAUAGGGGCACCUGUCAGUUUCUAGGUAACACGGGGAUUUUUUUCUAGCAUCACUUACUACCUUUGGGAAAAAAGCUCCUUUCUGAAGCCAAAAAACCUGACAAGGUGUAACUCAUACAAUGCAUUGUGCUGCAUUACGAUGGCUUACAUUGGUUCAUGUCUUGUCAUAUGACAAUAUAACAUGACACAAAACUGCAUGUACAUUGCAUUGGAGAUUUAUAAAACAAAGCUUCCUUUGCUCAGAACUAGAAGGGCUGUAUUGUGAACCGCUUGCCUAGGAGGAGCAGACGUUUCUGAGCCGUGCACACAGUCUAUAAAAUAUGCACAUCCAGCCCUCAACAUGAGCACAAACUAAUAGGAUCGGAGAAGCAGAACUUUUCAUUCCGGCAGGAUUUCACUACUGGAACUUUGUAACCUUGCGCUUUGAUUUUGUUUUUUAAUUAAUUGCAAGAACAUGGAAAAUGCAAAACAGAAACACAGGGUAGGAAAGUAGAGGAAAAAAAAAAAAGAGGUAAAGAUAAAAGACAGAAGAAAAUUAAUUGUUAAUUAUUUAUUAGACGGUUCAUUUGCUUACACCUACAUUACAGUGUUGAUGUUUUAACCCACUGUGCUCAUUCCUCAAGUUUGACCUCAGCCACAUCGUUAGCUGAUUUCCUUUUCUUUUGUCACUUCUCAUUAAUUUCAUCAGCAUUUUUUUUAAAUUUUAAGAUAGAAGCUAUAUGUAACAUUAUGAGUAAUUCUUAUGGGAUACUCCUUUUCUUAGCCUAA